rnacentral:rRNA from 1 species
AAAUUGAAGAGUUUGAUCAUGGCUCAGAUUGAACGCUGGCGGCAGGCCUAACACAUGCAAGUCGAACGGUAACAGGAAGCAGCUUGCUGCUUCGCUGACGAGUGGCGGACGGGUGAGUAAUGUCUGGGAAACUGCCUGAUGGAGGGGGAUAACUACUGGAAACGGUGGCUAAUACCGCAUAACGUCGCAAGACCAAAGAGGGGGACCUUCGGGCCUCUUGCCAUCAGAUGUGCCCAGAUGGGAUUAGCUAGUUGGUGAGGUAACGGCUCACCAAGGCGACGAUCCCUAGCUGGUCUGAGAGGAUGACCAGCCACACUGGAACUGAGACACGGUCCAGACUCCUACGGGAGGCAGCAGUGGGGAAUAUUGCACAAUGGGCGCAAGCCUGAUGCAGCCAUGCCGCGUGUAUGAAGAAGGCCUUCGGGUUGUAAAGUACUUUCAGCGGGGAGGAAGGUGUUGUGGUUAAU